GUGGAUGUUCAUCAGGUAGUACACGGUGCGGCUCUGCACGUGGCCCUGCACGCGGUUGGCCAGGUAGCGCAGCCCCACGUCGAAGAUCUUGAUGUAGGACAGGGCACUGGGGGAAUUCAUAAAAUCAGGGAAUUGUAUAAAAAAAAUUCAUAAAUUCAGUGAGGGAGAAUUCAUGAAAUCAGUGGGAGAAUUCAUAAAUUCAGGGAGUUAUUUAAAAAAAAUCAUAAAAUCAGUGAGGGGGAAUUCAUAAAAUCAGGGGGAAUUCAUAAAUCAAUGAGGGACAAUUUAUAAAAUCAGUGAGAGGGAAUUCAUAAAAUCAUCACUGAGGGAGAAUUCAUAAAUUCAGUGAAGGGGAAUUCAUAAAAUCAGUGAGAAUUGAUAAAAUCAGUGAGGGAGAAUUAAUAAAAUCAGUGCAGGUGAAUUAAUAAAAUCAGUGAGGGGAAAAUUAUAAAUUCAGUGAGGGAGAAUUUAUAAAAUCAGCAAGGGCAAAUUCAUAAAAUCAGUGAGAAUUGAUAAAAUCAGUGAGGGAGAAUUCAUAAAUUCAGGAAGCAAGAAUUCAUAAAUUCAAUGAGAGGGAAUUCGUAAAAUAAUCAGUGAGGGGGAAUUCAUAAAAUCAGGGAAUUAUAUAAAAAAAAGUUCAUAAAUUCAGUGAGGGAGAAUUCAUGAAAUCAGUGAGGGAAUU